rnacentral:rRNA from 1 species
AUUGAACGCUGGCGGCAGGCCUAACACAUGCAAGUCGAGCGCGAAAGGCCUUCGGGCUGAGUAGAGCGGCGGACGGGUGAGUAACGCGUAGGAAUCUACCUGGUAGUGGGGGACAACUUGGGGAAACUCAAGCUAAUACCGCAUACGCCCCAUGGGGGAAAGCGGGGGACCUUCGGGCCUCGCGCUAUCAGAUGAGCCUGCGUAGGAUUAGCUAGUUGGUGAGGUAAAGGCUCACCAAGGCGACGAUCCUUAGCUGGUCUGAGAGGAUGAUCAGCCACACUGGGACUGAGACACGGCCCAGACUCCUACGGGAGGCAGCAGUGGGGAAUAUUGCGCAAUGGGGGCAACCCUGACGCAGCCAUGCCGCGUGUGUGAAGAAGGCCUUCGGGUUGUAAAGCACUUUAAGUGGGGAGAAAGGCCCGUUGGUUAAUAGCCAGCGGGAUUGAUGUUACCCACAGAAUAAGCACCGGCUAACUCCGUGCCAGCAGCCGCAGUAAAAC